GAUCCUGGCUCAGGAUGAACGCUGGCGGCGUGCUUAACACAUGCAAGUCGAACGGAACUACUUUGAUGAGAUUCUUCGGAAAGGAUUUGAUUUAGUUUAGUGGCGGACGGGUGAGUAACGCGUGGGUAACCUGCCUCAUACAGGGGGAUAACAGUUGGAAACGGCUGCUAAUACCGCAUAAGCGCACAGUACCGCAUGGUACAGUGUGAAAAACUCCGGUGGUGUGAGAUGGACCCGCGU
rnacentral:rRNA from 1 species